UAAGCAGAGCGCCUGGGGAGUACGAGCGCAAGCUUAAAACUCAAAGGAAUUGACGGGGACCCGCACAAGCAGUGGAGCGUGUUGUUUAAUUCGAUACGAAACGAAAAACCUCACCAGGGAUUGACAUGCUAGAGUUCUAUUUCCAAGAAACUGGGAAGAUGCGCAAGCAGGCUAGCACAGAUGCUGCAUGGCUAGGUCGCCUUAGGCGACCGAUGGCCGGUCCGACAGUAAUGUCGUGACAAAAAUAACAAACCCAAAACGGUGAAGCCCGUAAUUGACUUUCGGAUAACUUUCGGGUUAUGCUAGAGUUAAUGGGUAAUACCGUGGGAAGCAAGUUUUUCUUUAAAACGGCUGAAGAUUUCUACUUUUUAGGUCUUUGGCUAGCAGAUGGUUAUUGGAGAAGUAGCUCUAUUGGUUUAACUUCAGUUAAUCCUAUUUUGAUUGAUAAAUUCAUGAAAUUUCUUUUGAGAGUGGCUCCAAGCCAUCCUAUUAAGAAAAGAAUCUAUCCAGUUAAGGUAGGAGAAAAGCGUAAACAGGAAGCAGUACAGGUUUAUAUAAACAAUAGACCUUUAACGCGAUUGUUUAUGUCUUUUAAAACUGGAGAUUUAUAUGUUUCUGAACCUUUUCUGAUGGCUUAUUUAGCCGGAAGAAUAGAUGGAGAUGGGCAUAUAGACACCAAACAUAGAUCCGGCAUUAGAAUUGCUUAUGGAAGCAAAGAAGAUGCAGAAAGAGAUCGAAAAUUGUUUGGCGAUACCAAUGUGAGUUUAUACCAAUAUAAACAGGCUGGGACAUUUGUCCUUUAUUUAAAGAAGAUUUACAGAGAUCAAAUCUCGCAAGAGAUUAGAAAAUAUUCUGUAAAACUUGCCCCGUAGAGACUGAAGUCCGAUUAAGAUCGGACGGAGAAUAGCCAAAUGAGGUUAUUCAAACGGUUGGUACCCUAUCGAAUGGUAGGGUAAAGGUAUAGUCCAUACCGCUGGAAACAGUUGGAGCAAUAUGGUCGUCAGCUCGUGGCGUGAGCUGUUACAUUAAGUUGUGAAACGAGCGCAACCCUCACCGUAUGUUAAAUUUCAUGCGGAACAGUCCCGCAUUUUGCGGGAAGGAAGGCGAGGAUGACGUCAAGUCAGCACGGUUCUUACACCCUGGGCUACAAACACACUACAAUGGCGAAAAACAAUGAGUUGCAAGCUAGUAAUAGCAAGCUAAUCUCUUAAAUUUCGCCUCAGUUCAGAUUGGGGUCUGCAACUCGACCCCAUGAAGUUGGAAUUGCUAGUAAUCGCGGAUCAGCGUGCCGCGGUGAAUACGUUCUCGGGUCUUGUACACACCGCCUAUAGUAUUUAAUAAAAUGCUAUAUAAAACGCGCGUGGCAGCAUAAAUAACUAGUUGGUUUAAAUCCAAC
rnacentral:rRNA from 1 species